AUUGAACGCUGGCGGCAUGCCUUACACAUGCAAGUCGAACGGUAACAGGUCUUCGGAUGCUGACGAGUGGCGAACGGGUGAGUAAUACAUCGGAACGUGCCUAGUAGUGGGGGAUAACUACUCGAAAGAGUGGCUAAUACCGCAUGAGAUCUACGGAUGAAAGCAGGGGAUCGCAAGACCUUGUGCUACUAGAGCGGCCGAUGGCAGAUUAGGUAGUUGGUGGGAUAAAAGCUUACCAAGCCGACGAUCUGUAGCUGGUCUGAGAGGACGAUCAGCCACACUGUGACUGAGACACGGCCCAGCAUCCUACGGGAGGAAGCAGUGGGGGAUUUUGGACAAUGGGCGAAAGCCUGAUCCAGCAAUGCCGCGUGCAGGAUGAAGGCCUUCGGGUUGUAAACUGCUUUUGUACGGAACGAAAAGCCCCGGGUUAAUACCCUGGGGUCAUGACGGUACCGUAAGAAUAAGCACCGGCUAACUACGUGACAGCAGCCGCAGUAA
rnacentral:rRNA from 1 species